rnacentral:pre_miRNA from 1 species
AUUCAAACCCUUUGGUAUUUUUGUAGGUGACUAUAUACCGAACAAUUCGACAAAGUUGUUCGGUAUAUAGUCACCUACAAAAAUACCAAAGGGUUUGAAUAUUU